ensembl:lncRNA
GAGAUACAGUUCUGGGCCUAGUGUUUGAGAGAUACAGUUCUGGGCCUAGUGUUUGAGAGACACAGUUCUGGGUCUAGUGUUUGAGAGACACAGUUCUGGGCCUAGUGCUCACAUCAAUCAAUAAGUCACCAUGUGUGUCUGAUAAAUUAACAGCUUUAAUGGCAGAGGCUUUGCAGUGAGUGAUGCAUUCUAGUCAAGUGAUGUGUGUGUAUGAUUGUGUGCAUGAAUGUGUGUGUAGGGGGUUGUAUCGCAGGCAGGCACACACACACACACACACACACACACACAAACUUAAUCAAACAACGUUUAGAGCAAUCCCUCAGACUGUAACUGUAAGGUUCCAGUCUGAAACCCCCAGAGAAAUCAAAUAUUAAUUUAGACGAGAGCCACUGCUCAAUAUCGACUCUCCAAUCGAUGUGUGCGUGUGUGCAUGCAAGGAGAGAAAAAGAGAUGCAGGACAAACAAGAGAUUGAGUGAAGAGAAAAAGAGUCAGAGAGGAAGAAAGAGAGAAAAAGAUGAGUCCCUAGGACUCCAGCCUCAAUCACAGAAGUUUGAUCAAAGUUCUCUGUUUCAGUAUACAUUUCUGAACAGCAGGCCCGAUUCAAACAGCUCAACUGCAUGCACAGUAGGGGGGAAGACAAUCAGUGUAGCGCUCCCUUUUCAUCGAGAAAUGAUGAGAAUACAAGCUAUAGCGGCCUUCAUUCUCCUCCAGUCACAAAGCAACUGGUCUGUGAUUGCCCUGGACCCCUCGUUAGGCACCAAGAGCCUGUCCAAUCAACUCCAUCAUUCCACUACAGUGCAUGUGUGUGGGUGUUUUGUGUGUGUGAUGUCUGAAGACAGACACAAAUUGGCAAUCAGGUAACGCUAUCAUGGAUUGGACUUUCCUCAGAGGGAUCCUGACUCCAAUACCUUCUUCCUUUCCUCUCCUCCAUCUCCUCGUCGCUCCGGAGCGGCUCCAGCUCGACCCUGACAGGUUCUCCUGACAACUUAUUACCAUACAAUUACACGAGCUCUCUCUCUCUCUCUCUCUCUCUCUCUCUCUCUCAAUCACUAAAGUUUCUCACUUGUCUUAACCCUCAAUCCCUGUCUCUCCCUCUCUCUUUCUCACCCCUCCUCUUUUAUCACUAUCUCUAUCCACUUCUAUCAAUCUUUAUUGGUUCCCAUCUCCUAGGCCCAAAUAGAGCAUUAGAGUACAUGGCUCACUUUAAUCUGCAUUAGGGAAGAGAUGAGAGGGCAAUGAGGAGAGGAGGAGAGAGGAGAAGGUGAGGAGGAGAGAGGAGAAGGUGAGGAGGAGAGAGGAGAAGGUGAGGAGGAGAGAGGAGAAGGUGAUGAGGAGAGGAGGAGAAGGUGAUGAGGAGAGGAGGAGAGAGGAGAAGGUGAUGAGGAGAGGAGGAGAGAGGAGAAGGUGAUGAGGAGAGGAGGAGAGAGGAGAAGUUGAUGAGGAGAGAGGAGAAGGUGAUGAGAGGAGGAGAAGGUGAUGAGAGGAGGAGAAGGUGACGAGAGGAGGAGAGAGGAGAAGGUGAGGAGGAGAGAGGAGAAGGUGAUGAGGAGAGGAGGAGAAGAUGAUGAGGAGAGGAGGAGAAGAUGAGGAGGAGAGAAGGUGAUGAGGAGAGGAGGAGAAGGUGAUGAGGAGAGGAGGAGAGAGGAGAAGGUGAUGAGGAGAGGAGGAGAGAGGAGAAGGUGAUGAGGAGAGAGGAGAAGGUGAUGAGAGGAGGAGAAGGUGAUGAGAGGAGAAGGUGAUGAGAGGAGGAGAGAGGAGAAGGUGAGGAGGAGAGAGGAGAAGGUGAUGAGGAGAGGAGAAGAUGAUGAGGAGAGGAGGAGAAGGUGAUGAGGAGAGGAGGAGAGAGGAGAAGGUGAUGAGGAGAGAGGAGAAGGUGAUGAAAGGAGGAGAGAAGAGAAGGUGAUGAGGAGAAGGUGAUGAGGAGAGGAGAAGGUGAUGAGGAGAGAGGUGAAGGAGAGGAGGAGAGAGGACAGGGUGAUGAGGAGAGAGGAGAAGGUGAUGAGGAGAGAGGAGAAGGUGAUGAGAGGAGGAGAGAGGAGAAGGUGAUGAGGAGAAGGUGAUGAGGAGAGGAGGAGAGAGGAGAAGGUGAUGAGGAGAGGAGGAGGGAGAAGGUGAUGAGGAGAGGACGAGAGAGGAGAAGGUGAUGAGGAGAGGAUGAGAGAGAGGAGAAGGUGAGGUGAUGAGGAGAGGAGAUUGUGAUGAGGAGAGGAGAAGGUGAUAAGGAGAAGAGAAGGUGAUGAGGAGGGGAGGAGAGAGGAGAAGGUGAUGAGGAGAGGAGGAGAGAGGAGAAGGUGAUGAGGAGAGGAGCAGAGAGGAGAAGGUGAUGAGUUGGAGAAGGCGAUGAGGAGAGGAGGAGAGGAGAAGGCGAUGAUGAGAGAAGGAGAGAGGAGAAGGUGAUGAGGAGAGGACGAGAGAGGAGAAGGUGAGGUGAUGAGGAGAGGAGAAGGUGACGAGGAGAGGAGAAGGUGAUGAGGAGAGGAGGAGAAGGUGAUGAGGAGAGGACGAGAGAGGAGAAGAUGAUGAGGAGAGGACGAGAGGAGAAGGUGAUGAGGAGAGGACGAGAGAGGAGAAGGUGAUGAGGAGAGGACGAUAGAGGAGAGGAGGAGAGAGGAGAAGGUGAUGAGGAGAGAGGAGAAGGUGAUGAGGAGAGGAGCAGAGAGGAUAAUGUGAUGAGGAGGAGAAGGUGAUGAGGAGAGGAGGAGAGGAGAAGGCAAUGAUGAGAGGAGGAGAGAGGAGAAGGUGAUGAGGAGAGGAGGAGAGAGGAGAAGGUGAUGAGGAGAGGACGAGAGAGGAGAAGGUGAUGAGGAGAGGAGGAGAGAGGAGAAGGUGAUGAGGAGAGGACGAGAGAGGAGAAGGCGAUGAGGAGAGGACAAGAGAGGAGAAGGUGAGGUGAUGAGGAGAGGAGAAGGUGAUGAGGAGAGGAUGAGAGAGGAGAAGGUGAUGAGGAGAGGACGAGAGAGGAGAAGGUGAGGUGAUGAGGAGAGGAGAAGGUGAUGAGGAGAGGAGGAGAGAGGAGAAGGUGAUGAGGAGAGGAGGAGAGAGGAGAAGGUGAUGAGGAGAGGAGGAGAGAGGAGAAGGUGAUGAGGAGAGGAGGAGAGAGGA